rnacentral:ncRNA from 1 species
AAUAAUCCUUUGACAAGGAGUAGUAGCUAUUAAGUUUAGUUACAGAGAGCUGAAGGUGGUGUGAUUUCAGCACGAUAACUAAUAGUGAAUGGACCUUAGAGGAGUAAACCGAAAUUCAAAGUCAUUUGAAGAGUAGUAUUUACCGUUAGCCAUACGUUAUAAUGGAUAGGACAUGUUAGUGUCUAAAAUUCAAGUGAUGUUUUUAAUUAAGCAUAAUUUAGGUGGUACCGCGGAUAUCUCCGUCCUAUUG